GAAACAUCAGCGGCCAUCCUCACUCCUGCAUGUCUGGCCAUUGGUGCUGCCUGUCAGGUGCUGUGCACGGAGCUCGACUAUCCUGAAUCCACCAUGAUUCGACCUCAUGUCAGUCCUUUGGCUGCCAGCCCAGUUCAACUCCAAGCUGAUGACCAGUGUCGACCGCCAGUCAUUCUGAACAUUUGACCAGUUGAGCUUUCAAAUGAUGGCAGUCCUGGCUGACAUUUUGGGUGAACAAUAUGAGAGACUGACUGGUUGAGCCCUUCCCAAAUUUCUGACCCACAACAUUGUGAGAAAAAUAAUCUUAAGCCUCUCAGUUUGGGGACAAUUUGUUACUCAGCAAUAGAAAUGAAAAUAUGAUCUCAGUAGGACCAUGUGACUUGCAGCAACCAGGGUGACAAUGAACGUCCC
rnacentral:lncRNA from 1 species